GCCCCUGUAGCUCAGUUGGCAGAGCGCGUCCUUGGUAAGGACGAGGUCUGCGGUUCAAAUCCGCAUGGGGGCU
rnacentral:tRNA from 2 species